rnacentral:lncRNA from 1 species
GGGGGUUGGGAGGGCAGGCUGAUGUGCCAGUGGGGGCCAAGACGCUGGUGGUGAGGGGUUGCUUGUCCGCCUGACAUGACUCUUAUUUGGUCGUCAUGGUAAUGCCACAGUAACGCUGCGGUAAUGCCAUAGCAACGACACCAAAUGGCAGGCGAAUGAGAGCUAGGCUGCAUCUUCCACAAAUGUCCUUGGUUCACUGUUUGAAAGGUGAUAACGUGCGACAUUACAUACAAACUCUGACCCAUUUGGGCCACGUUUACAGGUCAACCUCGCUCGGCAGUCAACAAUCUUUGACUAUUUAGAAUGAAUUACUUCCUGUGGGUCAUGUGAAAACAACAAGUGAUGUCAUAUAAAGGGGGACAGUUAAACUCUAGUGUAGAGCUUCCUUCCACUUGAAAAACAGCUCCUCUACAGGUUACGCUUCCAGUCCACUCUGUAUCUCUGUAGCUAGAACUAAAAGACACCCUGAAUGCUCCAAUAUCAAAGCCAAGGAAGAAGAAGAAGGUGUUUAGCAGAGAGGAAGCAGAGAAGCCUGUAUAAAGUCAGGGAACACCCACUGUAUUGUAUUUACAGAUGUAGGAUCUUAAUUUGAGCCAGUCUCCUACAGCAGGAAAAUAAUCAUACAGCAACAGGACAUUUUAAUUAUAAUGUGGAUUAUAAUGAAUGGAGAUUUUUGUAGCGUCUGAAAAAAUUUCGUAAGGGAAAAUCAAGUGUGAAAUUUCAAAGUGGAAAUACACUACAAGUACAAAAUACACUACAAGUUUUAAAUGUCCUGCAUUGCAGAAAUAUUUUCCUGCAACAGGGUAAUCAAAUGAAGAUCCUACAUACAGUAUGUAGAUGUCCAGGGAGCAUGUCUGCUGUCGGCCACAACAGCGCCUCCAAACCCCAGCGUUGCUACCAAAACAUGUUGUUGUGGUGUUGUGGUUGAGGUGGCUGUGAUGUGUAGUAAACAAACAGCUUCUUUUGUACAUUGUGUCGGGGUGAGGGAUGUGGGCGGGUUGGAUAUGUAGCUAUAAAUUACAAACAUGGGAGCUGUCUACACCCCAUCGACGUAUCCCAACAUUCACCCUUUUCCCUAUACAGUGCAAUACUGGUCAAAAGCAGAGCACUAUAUAGGGAAUAGGGUGCCAUUUGGGAUGCAGUUUGACUCCUCCAUCCGUCUUCGAUAUGGGCUCAGGAUUGUUCUGAGAGACAGAGAGAAGAAAGGGAUUGACGGUUCCGUCAGACGGGUCGCAAAACCAACCGAUAAAGAUUUAUUCAAUUCUCUUUUAAACGUUCUAUUUAUAUCGAGCUCUACUUUAGUAACAUCCUUCUAUAUUUAAACAUUGUACUAAUAACAUGCUGUCAGACAUGGUGGGGAAAAGUCCAUUGUAGCCAUUAACUAAUGUUACAUUUACUGUAUUACUGAGUAAGAAAAAAAAAACAUUUAUAUAUAUGAUGAAUAUAAAUAUAUCUAUUUGUGAUCUGCAACCCUUGGAAUUAAGUUCGCCCUUUGAUUUUUGAUAAUCGAUAUUAUGAUUUUAUGGGCGCCGGACUUAAUGCACUGUCGACCAUUCCUGGGAGAUUUCUAUACCUGUGUAGUGUUAUUACCUGUUUGUCUAUUUACUCCUCCUUUGGUUCCGCUAUUGAAUGUAACUUCCAAAAACUUUUUAUGUGAAUGUCGUUAUAUAUAUAUAAAAAAACAAAAUGUCAAAGUACAAUGUAUAUGCAGUACACUACACGAUGAUAAUAUAGCUGAACGUUUCAUCUGAUAAAAUGCUGGACUUCAGACGGUCACACCGAUGCCAAUACAACUGGUGAGGGUAUUUUACGUAGGAACAAGUGGGGAGGGUAUUAUGUGGAGCACACCAGUGCCCUGCAGACAGACAUCCUCCAGAUAAGAACCGUGUAAUCAUUUACUGGAUCAGUCAGAACUCUUCGCACCAAGGCUUUUCACAUCUGACGAGAACAAGAACACCAGGAGAGGAGCAUCGCAGUCUGUCCUGUGUGCCAGAUCAAAUGUGUUUUUUAAAUAUUGAUCUAUUUUGUAUUUAUUCUUCUCUCUCCUGAGGUGAAAGAGAGGGAGAGAGAGCGAGUGAGUGAGGACCAAGUGAGGGACUAGUGCUGAGAGUGGGUGGGGGGUGGUGGUGAGGGAGGGUUCUGUCACACCUUGAUCUGUGUUGGAGGGGAUUUGUGACCUAUACACAAGAGGAGGGUUGAGGAUCCAGGUUUGAAGACGGGGAAUAAGGGGACUCCUUAUCCCUCUCCUCUCUGAUUGGAGGACAGGAUGGUACUGUAAAACUCUGAGCUCUCUUUCCUUUCUGAGUUCACCUUAGCCUCUGCUGCACAUCAAGCUUCCCUACACCACAAUGAGCUGCUACCCCUGGACACAGGUGUGACUGUAUCUGACAGGCUGGUCUACGGACGUUUCCCUGGACACAGGUGUGACUGUAUCUGACAGGCUGGUCUACGGACGUUUCCCUGGACUCAGGUGUGACUGUAUCUGACAGGCUGGUCUACGGACGUUUCCCUGGACUCAGGUGUGACUGUAUCUGACAGGCUGGUCUACGGACGUUUCCCUGGACUCAGGUGUGACUGUAUCUGACAGGCUGGUCUACGGACGUUUCCCUGGACUCAGGUGUGACUGUAUCUGACAGGCUGGUCUACGGACGUUUCCUUGGACUCAGGUGUGACUGUAUCUGACAGGCUGGUCUACGGACGUUUCCCCGCAGUGUAAUGGAUGGAAGGUUCCGGAUAAAUAAACCCACUUUGCUGCAUUCUUGUCCUCAGAGAAGACAGAACGGGUAUCUUCACAGGUGGACAGGGGACAGCUGUUUGUUUGUUAACAUGUUAACUAACAGGUGUAUGUUAGGUAUGCAUGUAGCAUAAAUAAUGAGACCUGAACCAGUAAAGUGUGUGUGUGUCAUAGAGAAACAACUCUGUCCACUUCUAACCACUCAAUCUGUUGUUGUCAAGUUGUCAUUGCAAAGCUCAAGGGACUCUUGAUGUGAAGUCACAUCUGCACUGGCACUGAGAGAGACUGAGACCUCAUGUAUUAAAAAAGACAAGCAAACAAAUAAAUACAUUUUAAAAACGAUGAUGUCACUAACAGAGAUCUGAGAUCUUUAAGGGGUUUUACUUAUCCUGAUAAUCUGAUUCUACUGCUGUUAUUUUUUGGGUCUGUUUGAGACUUCCUUCCUGUUUAGAUGUAGACCUUGCUGUUCAACCCUGGGGAAAGAGAUGUAUGAUAAAAGCGGUUAUAAAAUGAGUCCUGUGCACACGUUGACCACUGCACUAUUGUGAAUAUGUCGGUCUAUCGGACUUACACAUUCAAAUAAACGUGCAGAAGUGGAUGUUAGUGCAGGGAUACAUUUUGUCAUUGAGCAUAGAAAAUUGUUAAUAAUUUAUAUUCCCAGCACCGCUGAAAGCGGUGGUAGUGUGUCUGUGUGCUGAUAUUUGCUCUGAAAUGGCUUAAUUCUCAUUUGAAAUAAAAAAAACGUAACUCUGCAAGACGUUGAUGUCAUUGAGGACCUUACGCAAACAUGUGAUUUAAGUGUGUAGAUCUUGAGUUAGGAUUUGGCCCAAACAAGUGUGAAGCAGCCUUCACUAUAGCUCUGUUACUGUCUGAGGCUAAUUACCGUACCGUACCCUACCCCUACCCGCUGCUCCUAAAGUUACGUAUACCUCUGUGCCCCCUAACCCAAAGCCCACAUCCAACACUCAUUCCAAUGAUGGCUUCCUGAAAAUCCACAAGCUUCCUUACAAAAACCAAAUGUCGGUUUCCUCGAACAUCCUGAUUUGUUUACAACCUAAACCCUAAUGCAAAUACCCAGACCCCGUCUCAUCUGAAUCCAGAAACCUCAGUCCAAAACCCAACCCAGUUCAGACCCAGUUUAUCCUGUAGUACCCGAACCAGCUCUCAAACCCCUAAGCCAAAACCACAGACCUACCUCCCCUAUAGUUUAUCGAUCUCCGUCCCCAUCCGUCCCCAUCCGUCACCGUCCUAGUUCACAACGCCCUCUGCAGUCCCCCAAAAGCACAAAGGUUAGAGUGGUGUAGGAGUAAGCUGACGCUGUGAAAGAGAAACCCUUCCAUUCUGUUUGUGUUGGUCUGUUUACGGCUUAUAAAUGUGGUGCUUUUGUAUUCCGAAUGUACAGAUGCUCCUUUUUCUGUCUAUGUCAGAACGUUGUAUUAGUGGAAAUUCAAAACGACGACUCUUCAUGUGCUUCAAACACAUCUAUUUCUGUUUUUAUUUUCUUCUUUUUUGGCAAUUGCUCCAAGGUCAUAUAGAUUAAAAGAUGAGUAGGUAAACAAAAUACAUAAAUAAAGAGAUAUAUUGAUCAAUUUCAAGAGAUUACAUGUUGAGCUGUUCAGAACCUGUACUCUAACUUUGGCAUUUGGUUUCUGUUCACUGUUUUGUUCUACUUUGUGUAUGCUUUCAAUGUGCUUCAGAAAUACAGUAAUAUUUAUUAUGAUCGUUAAAUUAUUAUUACAGUUAUUAUCAUGAUUACUGCAGUUAUUAAUAAAUAUUUCUUUCCUCAACGAGA